UAUAUUUUAGUAUAGGAGGUACAUAAGUUUUUGAUACUUAAGGAAUUAGUUUAAUUCUAAUAAAUAUAU
rnacentral:tRNA from 1 species